GUGGGAACAGCACGACCGCAAAUCCGACGCGCCGCUACGAUCACUUUCGCGGCUUGGGAUUGCGGUAGUGU
rfam:Halorientalis sp. IM1011, complete genome.